GCCCAAUAGGUCUACUUAUAUAAAUAAGUGAUAUUUCGCCACGAUCAUAUGAAACGGAUGCUUGAGGGGCGAGUGAAGUAGGUCAUGUUUGUAUGUAGAUUACAACUGGAUCGACACGGGGAGAUCAUCGUUUCAUUGUGGCACCAUGGCACAGUAACGAGGAGACGAAUCAGAAAUCUCUAGUUCCCAUACCGGGAGUCGAACCUGGGUGAAAACCAGGAACAAUGGGAAUUCUGGUAGGCCUAUUGUAUUUUGCUGAACUACUUAAUUUUCUCAAUGUAUUAAUUUUUUUUAUUGUAGUGUAAUUGCAUAAUUCAAGGAGACCAUUACUUUAAAAAAAAUUAAACAUAUUACGCACGCGAGCAUACGAUUACCACAACUGAAGGCUGUGGUGCGAGUUGAGUAUGUUUGUAUACAGUAGGCCUACAGAGGUCAUGGGAUAUCUUCGUUUCAUCGUCGUACCACAGCACGAGGAGACGCACCUAAAUGUGCUUGUUCCCAUACCGGGAGUCGAACCCGGGCCGUGGGUGAAAACCAGGAAUCCUAACCGCUAGACAAUAUGGGACACCUCUACCGGAUUUUUGGUGAAUUUUUAUAUAUUUUGUUUCUAAGAUCUUUAGUAAUUGUUUUAUUGUAGUGUAAUGCAAGGUGCCAAAUACUUUCACAACAAGGACAUAUUGGCACACAUGCAACUGUGGGUUGUGGUGCGAAUGGAGCUGGUAAGCUUUUCCCACUAUCGUCCUACAUAUUUGUCAGUCCGGCCUUAAAAUAUCAUAUCAUAGGCCCAUUUGUCACUCCUCCCGUAUUUAAAUAGCCAAUUUUUUUUUUUUUAAAGCCAAUCGUAAGAGGGCCGGCAGUCGUCAGACUGGAUCGGGCCCUCCAAUUACCUUCAACCCGGUUAAGGAGCUGGCUCUAAGCAUUAGGCUCCCUGGCAUGGAGGGGAUACCUGGAGGUACCUCCUCAGAGAGUCCGGGGCCAUCUCCGUGCACUGUCAACCCACUGGUUUAAUAUCAAGACGGAGUAUUGCUUUUAAUCGAGCCGGCUACGAAUGAACAUCCUCCAGUUUAUGUAUGCCUAAGUCCGUUGACGACUAAAGAAUUAUAUCGUCUUCAUCUUCAGCGGGUAAUCGCUAAGGCAUGAAGCUGCUGACAGAGGUAAAAAAGGAGGUUGGGCAGAAAUUCAACGCGGACAUGAUAAUGCUAUUUCAAUGUCUUAUAUUCUUUUCCCUCCCUCAGCAACUAAAG